GCUUCAUCAUCGUUUUGGUCUGGAAGGUUAGGGGUAACCUGAGAAUAGGAAGAAUAAAAUGAGGUCUUCAGAUGCUAAGCAGGUCCAGGGACAUCUGCCUGGGGGUUAGGUUUAAGAGCUAUCUUUCUUCUUGAAUUUCUUUCCUAUCUUCCCUUCCCUUGUAAGAUUGAAGCACUGAAGUCAUUCUCAAAAUCAGACCUGGUCAACUGGUUCAAGGCCCAUAGAGGGCCAGGAAGUAAAAUGCUCAGCGUUCAUGUUGUUGGAUAUGGGAAGUAUGAACUGGAAGAGGAUGGUACCCCUUCUAGUGAGGAUUCAAAUUCUUCUUGUGAAGUGAUGCAGCUGACCUACCUGCCAACCUCUCCUCUGCUGGCAGAUUGUAUCAUCCCCAUUACUGAUAUCAGGGCUUUCACAACAACACUCAACCUUCUCCCCUACCAUAAAAUAGUCAAAUAAAUAAACUGCAGUCACGUUG
rnacentral:lncRNA from 1 species